CCUACGGGAGGCAGCAGUGAGGAAUAUUGGUCAAUGGGCGGAAGCCUGAACCAGCCAAGCCGCGUGAGGGAUGAAGGUACAGAGUAUCGUAAACCUCUUUUGUCAGGGAACAAAGGCGGGGACGCGUCCCCGGAUGAGUGUACCUGAAGAAAAAGCAUCGGCUAACUCCGUGCCAGCAGCCGCGGUAAUACGGAGGAUGCGAGCGUUAUCCGGAUUUAUUGGGUUUAAAGGGUGCGCAGGCGGUCUGUUAAGUCAGCGGUCAAAGCCCGGGGCUCAACCCCGGCCCGCCGUUGAAACUGGCAGUCUCGAGUUGGAGAGAAGUAUGCGGAAUGCGCGGUGUAGCGGUGAAAUGCAUAGAUAUCGCGCAGAACUCCGAUUGCGAAGGCAGCAUGCCGGCUCCACACUGACGCUGAGGCACGAAAGCGUGGGUAUCGAACAGGAUUAGAUACCCCGGUAGUC
rnacentral:rRNA from 1 species